CGGGUCCGGACGGUCCAGAAGCAGCUGGAAGUGGAGGUUCUGAUGGGGCCUUUGCUGUUGGGGUUCCAACUUCAA
rnacentral:SRP_RNA from 15 species